GACAAGAGCGUGUGGAGCUGAGGCCCCUCAGAAGGCCACUGACAGGGUUCGGGUUUCUUGAACACCUUCUACGGGUCAGACUUGGUCCAAGUUCCUGACAGGUAGUAACUCACACGACCCAACAAUGGGUCUGUGAACUGGGAGCCAUUAGCAUCCCCGUUCUACAGAUGAGCAAACAGGCGGAGAGAACGGGCUUUAUGUGUCAUUGCCCAAAACUGGAACGACCCAAAUGUGCUGCUGUGGGUGAAUGGGUAAACAACGGGGACACGUCCAAAGCCAUGAGAUCCUCUCAGCAAUGAAAACGAACACGGUACUGAGACACAGCCACAGCUGGAUCGCAGACGCCUUCAGUUAAGUGAAAGAAGCCAGACUCACAGGGCAGCGUGCAUGUGACAUUCUCUAAAAGGCAGAACAUAAGGACCCAGGAGAAAUGAGUGACUGGGGAGCAGGCUGACUACAAGAGGGCACCGAGGAAUUUUACACAGUGACAGCCCAUUCCAUAUCGUAGUUGGGGUGGCAGUGACCCAGGCCAACUAUGUGUGACAAAGCAUAUGGAAAUGGACACAAAAGAAGCCAGGUGCCUCUGUGCAGUGAACAACCCGCACAACUGUAUGCAACAGCCCUAGGGGCUGGACAGCCCAGAA